UAGUUUCUUGAGUUCCAUCUCUUCUGUGC
rnacentral:piRNA from 1 species